GUGCUUGCUUCGGCAGCACGUGCACUAGAAUUGAAACAAUAAGGAGAAGAUAAGAAUGGCCCCAGCACAAGGAUAACACACAAAUCUGUGAAGCGUUCCAUAUUUUU